rnacentral:piRNA from 2 species
UGCCUUUGAUCUGGGUCUUGUCAAGGUGUU